rnacentral:misc_RNA from 1 species
UGAGACCCUCAGGUAGGUUCUCUCUCCUGCUCUUGUGUGAUUCUCCAGUUACUCAUCACCUCCAGGAUGACCUGGGAGGUGUGCAGGCUGUGGGUCGGGUGUGGGAAAUGGGUGGGGUGGAGGAUAUGGGCAGUGGUAUGGGUGAUGGCGUGGACGGUGGCACUGGCCCAGAAUGAGGUUACCCUGGAAGUUCGACUCAAACAAGGUACCAUCAUUGGUCUCCGGGAAGAAACUGGGGUGGCCAACAAGUAUUUCUACAGCUUCCUUGGCAUUCCCUUCGCUCAGCCUCCAGUAGAUGGUCUCAGAUUUAGGGAUCCAGUGCCAGCAGGGGGAUGGAGGGGCACUAAGGACGGACGUGUGGUGUCUCCUGCAUGCCCUCAGCUGGAGUUUAACGCCUUCCUGGAGGGUGAGGUGAAGGUUCUGGGCCAAGAAGACUGCCUCUACCUCAACGUCUACACCCCACACCCCCUCCACCCUGGCCUGCCUGUGAUGGUGUGGAUCCACGGGGGCGCCUUCAUCCUCGGUGCCGCCCAUCACUACUCCCCGCUGCCCUUCCUCACCAAAGACAUCGUCCUCGUCACCAUCCAGUACCGCUUAGGGACUUUAGGCUUCCUCUCGACGGAAGACUCAACACUGCCUGGUAACCUGGGGCUAAAGGAUCAGACUUUGGCCCUACGUUGGGUGCAAGACAACAUUCGUGACCUCGGUGGUGACCCCAAUAAGGUCACUAUCUUUGGUCAGAGUGCCGGAGCCGCCUCAGUUCACCUGCAAGUUCUGUCACCACAUGCAAGAGGGUUGUUUCAGAGGGCCAUCCUUCAAUCCGGCUCAUCACUCAGCCCCUGGGCCACGCGGGCCGACCAUAGGCAGGUGGCCACUACCAUCGGCCAGGCGUUCAACUGCUCAGGUGUGAAGACGACGCCACAAGGUCUGAACAGCAGGGCGCUCCUCUACUGCCUCCAGACACUACCCCUCGAAGACCUGGUGGCCAUCCCCUCAGCCUUUGCAGUGUGGCUCAACACCCCGAUGGUGAUGACACCGAGGGUGGACGGAGACUUCCUGCCGGAUCACCCCGCCAGGCUGCUCAGGUCCAACAGGUACAAUAAGGUGGACCUCAUCUCUGGCGUCACUCAGCAUGAGGGCGCCCUGGCUGCCUUACCCAUCUUGACGAGCCGGGAGGUACAGGAAGCUCUGACGCAGGACUUCGGCGAGAUCGGCCCCGUCGCUGUGAACUUCGAGGACGAGGAUGCUGGUCUCUCCUUGGCUCGCCGCGUCUUCAAGUACUACCUUGGUGACCUCAACAUCACCGAAGCCUCUGCUAAAGAACUAGUCGAGCUCUUCGGUGAUCGAUGGUUUAACGUCCCUCACGAAGAGACGACGAGUUUACACAGUCGAGACACCGUGUUAGGGAAGAAUGUGGUCGCUUAUGCCCUGGUACACCGCGGAGAACACAGCCUCGCCGACGUCUACAACAGCCCUCUCGCCCUCACCUGGGUGAGCCACGCUGACGACCUACAGUACCUGUUCGAUGGAGCGGCGUCUCUCCCGCCCCUACAGCGCCCCCAGGACCUCGAACUCCGCCAGCUGAUGCUUACAAUGUGGACCAACUUCGCCGCCACUGGGUAAGAUCUUUUGACAACUUCGACACAAACUUCACGCACGUUCUUCACCAACUUCAUUCUAUAGAACCCGACCCCUGAUAAGACUCUAGGGGUGAGGUGGGUGUCAUCCUCUCCCGAUCGUCUCUCUUACUUGGCCCUCAGACCUAACCUGACCAUGCUGCCAGACACACGUGCUCAG